GCCUACGGGGCGCAGCAGUGAGGAAUAUUGGUCAAUGGUCGGGAGACUGAACCAGCCAAGCCGCGUGAGGGAUGAAGGUGCAGAGUAUCGUAAACCUCUUUUGUCAGGGAACAAAGGCGGGGACGUGUCCCCGGAUGAGUGUACCUGAGGAAAAAGCAUCGGCUAACUCCGUGCCAGCAGCCGCGGUAAUACGGAGGAUGCGAGCGUUAUCCGGAUUUAUUGGGUUUAAAGGGUGCGCAGGCGGUCUGUUAAGUCAGCGGUCAAAGCCCGGGGCUCAACCCCGGCCCGCCGUUGAAACUGGCAGU
rnacentral:rRNA from 1 species